GACGAACGCUGGCGGCGUGCUUAACACAUGCAAGUCGAACGGAAAGGCCCUGCUUGUGUGGGGUGCUCGAGGCGCGAACGGGUGAGUAACACGUGAGUAACCUGCCCUUGACUUUGGGAUAACUUCAGGAAACUGGGGCUUAUACCGUAUACGCACUCCAGUUGCAUGGAGGGGGUUGGAAAGGUUCGGCGGUCGGGGAUGGACGCGCGGCUUAUCAGCUUGUUGGUGGGGUAGUGGCUUACCAAGGCUUUGCCGGGUAGCCGGCCUGGGAGGGUAACCGGCCCCAUUGGGACUGAGAUACGGCGCAGACUCCUACGGUGCGCAGCAGUGGGGAAUGUUGCGCAAUGGGCGGACGCCUGAUGAAGCAGCGCCGCGUGCGGGAUGACGGCCUUCGGGUUGUAAACCGCUUUCGCCUGUGACGAAGCGUGAGUGACGGUAAUGGGUAAAGAAGCACCGGCUAACUACGUG
rnacentral:rRNA from 1 species